rnacentral:rRNA from 1 species
AUACGGAGGGUGCAAACGUUGUUCGGAAUUACUGGGCAUAAAGAGCUCGUAGGCGGCUGUGCAAGUGUGAAGUGAAAUCCCACGGCUCACCCGUGGAACUGCUUUGCAGACUGCACGGCUAGAGGAUGGUAGGGGAGAGCGGAACUCCUGGUGGAGCGGUGAAAUGCGUAGAUAUCAGGAGGAACACCGGUGGCGAAGGCGGCUCUCUGGUCCAUUCCUGACGCUGAGGAGCGAAAGCUAGGGUAGCGAACGGGAUUAGAAACCCCAGUAGUCC